GGGGACCUCUUCGAAGGCGAGACUUUGGAUGGCUCGGUCCCUCUUAGCGGGCGGGGCAGGCCUCUUGGCGGGGGCGAGUCUGUCAAACUUGUCAGGGAGGGAGCCGGCGGAGGCCGCUCUCCGUAGGGAGCGGUGAGGCGCAGGGGGCUGCCGCGUCGCUCCCCUCCGAGGCAGCGCCGUGGGCCCGGGUGUCAGGCACCCGCCCGGCUAACGCACUCCCUCGUGCCAGCUGGAGGGAUCAUGCCCCGCGUAUCGGCUGCCUCAGCUUUUGGGAUGCCAUGUUCCAGGAAGCAUCUGGAGGGCCUCUUGGAGCACAGGGCCUCCAACUGCACCUCACUGCUGCACAAUAAUGCAAGAGGAGAGUCUCUUUAUGCCCUCCCUUAUGCAUCUAUGAAGUAGCAGGGCACAACCUGGCCCGUAAAGUGUUGGCAAGUGGGGAAACUGAGGAAGAAAGUGAUUAAGUGACUUGGCCAAGAUCACCCAGAAAAUUGUUCAGCGCUGAGAUUAGAAAUCAGGAGUUUAUGCGCUGCUGCUCUAAAAAGGAGCAGCGGGGAUUCCUGGCUGACCUGGAUGCUGUUUGCUGCAUCAUACAUGCUAACCAGCUAGAAACUCUAUGUGCACAUUAGCCAACAGAUCAUGCUCUCUUGAGGUUGGCAUGCCUGGGCUCGUGUGUCACCCUCUUUUUCUCAUACUGCUCUCUUAAGCACUAAAGAGGUUGGCUUCUCUGCUUCUUGUGCUAAGGGGAGGGAAGAACAGCAUCUGACUCUCAAUACAAGCUGAAUUCCACAUUACUAUAUUAGGGUCAAGUGACUGAUUUAAGAAUACUAUGAGUUAGGAUAUACUUUAAUCCAUAGGCCUGAUUCUCCUCUGCCGUCCUCCUUGUUUACUCGUUUACAUCUAUGUAAAGUGGGUGCAAAAUGCUAUCAAGAAAGAAUGGUAGAGUUUUAGCCUCCAUUUACACAGGUGUAAAUGACUACAUCAGGAACAAGAUAGGACAGAACCAGGCCUCAUGCUAUCAUCUUAUUUGCUUUGAGCUCACUGUAGGACCCAGUAUUGAACUAACAACUCAGUUUCUACUCAGGCAAACUGCCAGUAAGAAAGCAGUGGGAAUUUUGCUUAAGUAAGGACUUCAGGAUUGGGCCUGACAGUUUGUGUGAAUGCCAAAAAUUAUUUUAAAUUAGUUCGUAGAAUAUCAUCAUAAGAUAAUGUAACAUCACAGUGGGCGAUCUAUUUAAACUGUUGCACAUUAAAACAUGAGUGGGUUCGUAACAUCACUUUUUUGCAGUCUUGCUCUCUGUUGAGAUUAUUACAAAAGGCCCUACUGCAGAUUGGAAAUUUAAGUACAGGAAAAAAUAAGUGCCCUCCAAUUUCUCUAGAAGGUAAUAAUACAGUAGUGAUUUUAAAGUAAAAAUAUGUGUGUCAAUGAAAAUCUUUCUGAGGUUGACGGUAAGGUGCAUUUGGCUGAUUGAGGAAUUAGUGGGUACUGUGGAUGAUUGUAUCUGAUAACAAAAGGGAGGUGGUGAUGAGGAGUAUGAUUCCAUUUGGGUAUUGUGAUGUUUGUUUGGUAAUGUGUACUGAUGCUGGAAAGGAGGUUAAUUAUGCUAAUGAUGACUAAUCAGAGGAUUUCCUUGCCUUUAUUUAUUGUGUGGAUAAAAAAAAAAUUUGCUCUACCACUGACUUGCAUGAGCUUGGUCAAAUCAUUUAACCUCCCUCUACCUCCAUUUUCUCCAUGGGGAUAAUCAUAUGUGCCUAAUUUACUGGGGUAUUAUAAGGCUUACUGUUUGUGAAAUAGGUUGUGAUUCUCAAAUAAAGGUACUUCAAAGUAUAAA